rnacentral:miRNA from 1 species
GAGGAGCGGGAGGAGCGGGA